rnacentral:rRNA from 1 species
GACGUAGGGCGCGAGCGUUGUCCGGAUUAUUGGGCGUAAAGAGCUCGUAGGCGGCUUGUCGCGUCGUCCGUGAAACCUGCGGCUCAACUGCAGGCUGGCGGUCGAUACGGGCAGGCUGGAGUCCGGUAGGGGAGUGUGGAAUUCCCGGUGUAGCGGUGAAAUGCGCAGAUAUCGGGAGGAACACCAGUAGCGAAGCGGCACUCUGGGCCGGAACUGCACGCUGAGGAGCGAAAGCGUGGGGAGCGAACAGG